AAGCGUUAUCCGGAAUUACUGGGCGUAAAGAGUUGCGUAGGUGGCAUAGUAAGUGAAUAGUGAAAGCGUGUGGCUCAACCCAUACAUCCAUUAUUUAAACUACUAAGCUAGAAGAUGAGAGAGGUAGAUGGAAUUCCUAAUGUAGGGGUAAUAUCCGUAGAUAUUAGGAGGAACACCGAUGGCGUAAGCAGUCUACUGGCUCAUUCUUGACACUAAGGCACGAAAGCGUGGGUAGCAAACAGGAUUAGAUACCCUGGUAGUCCACGCCGUAAACUAUGGAUGCUAGCUGUAAGGAGUAUCGACCCUUCUUGUAGCGAAGCUAACGCGUUAAGCAUCCCGCCAGUGGAGUACGGUCGCAAGACUAAAACAUAAAGGAAUUGACGGGGACCCGCACAAGCGGUGGAGCGUGUUGUUUAAUUCGAUGGUAAGCGAAGAACCUUACCCAGGUUUGACAUCCCGAGAAGGUUUCCGAAAGGAAAUUGUGCCGUAAGGAAUUCGGUGACAGGUGUUGCAUGGCCGUCGUCAGCUCGUGUCGUGAGAUGUUAGGUUAAGUCCUUCAACGAGCGCAACCCUUAUAGUUAGUUGUAUUUUUCUAGCUAGACUGCCCUGGUAACAGGGAGGAAGGGGGGGAUGAUGUCAGGUCAGUAUUACCCUUACACCUGGGGCUACAAACACGCUACAAUGGCCGGUACAAAGGGCAGCCAAGUCGCAAGACGGAGCAAAUCCCAUCAAAGCCGGCCUCAGUUCGGAUUGCAGGCUGAAACUCGCCUGCAUGAAGCUGGAAUCGCUAGUAACGGUAGGUCAGCACACUACCGUGAAUACGUUCCCGGGUCUUGUACACACCGCCCGUA
rnacentral:rRNA from 1 species